rnacentral:rRNA from 1 species
CCCUUAGAUGUUCUGGGCCGCACGUGUGCUACACUGAGUGGAUCAGCGGGUCAGGUUGCGCGAAAGCGUUUCCUAAUCUUUAAAUCCGCUCGUGAUGGGGAUUGACGGUUGCAAUUUUCUGUCAUGAACGAGGAAUACCUUGUAAGCGCGGGUCAUCAUCCCGCGCUGAAUACGUCCCUGCCCUUUGUACACACCGCCCGUCGCUCCUACCGAUUGAGUGGUCCGGUGAGGCUUUGGGAUCUGAGCGGAAAGAGCGUUUCGCUGUUUCUGCUCGGAAAACUCAGUCGAACCUUAUCAUUUAGAGGAAGGAGAAGUCGUAACA